CUCUUCACUUUCUCACCACCCGCACUAAAGCCAAAGAACCCCAAAUUUGAAACCAUAAACCCUCCCUGAUCUUCCUCUAAAUCCAAAUAACCUAAAUGUUGUGAAAUCCUACCUGUGAUUUUCUCAUAUAUCCCCAAAAUCCCUAUAAUCCCAAGAAACAAACCCUAAUCCUUAUUUGCACAAGUCGAUGUCAUAGAUUUAAGAGUGUGGGCAUCAGUCGAUGUCGUAGAUUUGAGAGCGUGGGGAAACCCUAACCUCUUUGUCUAAAGAUCUAGUUCCGAAUCUCUAUCUUCAUCAUCAUCAUCAGGUGAUAUAUUUUUAUGUUGGUAUAUUUAUGGUGGUUUAUUUGUGUUAAAUUUUUUUUUCACAUCGAGAAAGGAGGGUGUGCCGAAGUAUGACUAUGAAAUUUACAUAUUCUUUUUUUCUUUAUGUACAAAACUUCACCUUUCUCUCUAAAUUCCUCUCAAUUAAGGGCUUCUUUCGGAGAUUUGAUGUAGCUGCUAAUCUUUUGUACUAUUUCUCGAAAACCCUUUUUUUUUUUUUUGUUGGAAAAUGUUCUCAGAUUUUGAAGGUAAGAAAUUUGUUUAUUUUUAAUAUUGAAAUAGAAACUCAAUUGCAGUAAUGAAUUGAAGAUGUUUAUUAUUAUCAUUAUUAUUAUUUGUUAUUUGUUUGGUUAAUUUAGAGGUUUGUGGGUUGGUUGAUUAUUUCUCAUAAAUCAUUGAUCUCAAUUUUUUUUUUUGUAUUAAUAAAUUGAAGAUUUUAUUUUGUUUUUUUUUUCUUUUUCUUUUUUAAUGCUUUGUGGUACUAGGUUUAAAUUUUUUACGGAUGUUUGGGUGGGCAUUAUUGAAAUUAGUGGGUUUAUUUUGAGAAAUUUAGUUUUCCGACUGAGGAAUUUAUGCUUCUGAAACAACAAGCAUUCAGUUGAGGAAUUGUUUUAGGGUUAAAGCCAUACUAGAUUUUAAUUUUGUUGUUUCUACAUCUUUUAAAGAAUGAUGUUAGGCGGUUAGAGUGUGUUCUUUUGUUGUUUUAGGGUUUUUAGGUUGAAAAUUGAUAUGGAUUUAUGUUUAUUAGAUUGAGUUAGAAUUUUUUCCCACGAAUUUAUUUGAGAAGCCAUGAUAUGUAAUUGUGUUUUGAGAUGGUUUUAUACUAAUUAGUUUUAUUUGUGUCUAUUUUUGUGCAUUUAUCUGAGUUUUUUUUUUUUGGUUUUAUAUUUUUCAAAAUGGUUUUUGGUUCAUGACUCUUAGAAUUGGAAAGGUUUAAGCCAAGUAGGAUGAGUUAGCUCUUUUACUUUGGAUUUAUUUAAUAUUCAUUUUUUCGGGUUCUGCUUUUAGGAUCGGAUUACAUUUGUGAGUCUUUAAAUUUGAGAUGACUCUUAUUUUAUUUUAUUUUUUGUCAAAUGGUACUGUGGUUUUCAAACUACAUAACAGAUGUAGACAUAGGCAUUAUUGAGGCUUGGAGACCAUUGAUGCAGUUCUUUUAAUUACAUUACUUUUUACCAUAAUUCAGGAUUGACUUUUACUAAAAAAUAUUGAUUCUUCAUUUUGGUCUCCUUCAUAGUUAAUGUAAGCAUCACUAUUUCUACAUCUUUGUUAUCUUUGUAAAUAAUUUUUUGCCUUGAAUUGUAUAACAUACUCAUAUAAUUCAAAGUUGCAAAAGUCUUGACCCACAAAUUACCAUCUCAUGUGGAUUUGGGAGAUAAGAAAUUUACAAGUUGAAAUACAUUGAGCUUUGAUAAUUCUUACAUAUUGAAAACUUUUUUAUUUAUACAAUAUAUUCUGAUGGCAUUUCAAUAUUUAUGUUUACAUUUUGUUUUCUUUUAAAUUUUUAAGCAGAUUCAUGGGUCAUAAAGGCUACCAUAGGCUUCAGAAUUAGACUUUAAUAUCUAAGAAGCAUUUCCUUAUUAUAAUACGAAAUGCUUUUGGAAGCUGGUUAUAGAAUUCCCAGGGAAAUGCUUAAAUUUUUCAAAACAACAUCAUAUUAUUUUUCAACCUAAAAUACACUUAUAUAAAUUUUCAUAACCACAUUACACCAUCCUUGAAGUUUCUCCAUAAUAAUACUAUUGAAAAAAAAAUUAUGGAGACAUGAUAUUUUAUUUUGUAAGUUUGAAUUAAUGAAAUAAAGUAUUUGACUCUAACUUAUAUGGUCCUAAUCAACGAAUUAUAAUAGUUAACCUUGUGACCUUAGUUAACGGGUUAUAAUUGUUGACUUUUAGUUUUAUUCAACUUAAAAGGAACAAAUUUAAGGCUAACCACUCAUUUGUAAAGUCCCACCUAAUUGGGCAUCAUUUGUUAUUUGAUAACCAAAAUAAAUAUAUUUUGAAUGUAUUUGAUUUGGUUUUGAUGUGAAAUUGAUUUGAAAUGGAUAUGAGAGAGUUUUGUAGAAAAGUUUUGAAUGUAUUACCUUGUUUGAACUCAAAAGUUUUUAUGAGAAAAAGAUUAUACAUUGUAUCUUUUGUUUGCAAUCAUAAUUGAAAAUGUUUGAUCCAUGAAGCUAUAUUGAUAUUCCUUAUUAGACUUUGUGCUCACUCCCCUUCAUUAAUAAUUUUUCAGGUACUCUCAAUUCGGGUGAGAAGUGAUGGCUAGGCUGAUUUGGUUGAGUGUUGGGUUAGAGCUGCUAAGACUAAUGUUCAGGGACAAUCGUCAUCUUCUAAGGGUAGCUCCUUUGAUGACUUUAAGAAGUUGGGUCAUCCUUAUUUUUUUGGCACGUCAAAUCCAACGGAGGCAAAGGUUUGGAUUCUUAAGAUGGAGAAAUUCAUUGAUGUCAUAGAUUGCUUUAAGGAGCAAAAAACCUCUUAUGCAACAUUUCUGUUAGACAAACAGGCAGCUCAUUGGUGGCGUAUGACUAAGAGACUUUUAGAGGAUCAGGAACCUAUAACAUGGAAACAGUUUAGAGAGGCUUUCUACAAGAAGUACUUCCAUGAUAAUGUUAGACAACACAAGGUGGAAGAGUUUGUCAUUUAGAACAAGGGGAUAUGACAAUGGCCCAAUAUGAAGCCAAAUUUACAAAGUUGAUUGCUACAGAUGAGGAAAAGACAUUAAUUUUCCAGGAUGGAUUGAAACCUUAUCUAAAGAGCAAGAUAUCUAUUUUGAAGCUUAGUGUCUAUUGAAAGAUUGUAAACAGAGCCCUUAUAGGGGAGAAGGAUAAUAAGGAGCUUCAACAAUAUAAAGAACAACAAAGAAAGAGGAGUAGGAGUGAUGGUACCCAUGAUAACUAAGAAUAGAAAAGGUUUGUUUCAAUUGAGGGUCAGAAUAAAGAGGAAAUAGUGCAAAAUUCAGAUGUGAUUUGUUCUAUUUGUGGUAAGAAACAUUGGGGUAAGUCAUGCUAUAAAGAGACUAGAGUUUGCUUUGGUUGUGGGAAGCAUGGACAUAUGAUUCUAGAUUGUUGAAAAGUUUUGAACGUAUUAGCAUGUUUGAAUUCAAAAAAAUUUUAUGAGAAAAAAAGUAUACAUUGUAUCUCUUAUUUGCAAUUAUAGUUGAAAAUGUUUUAUCCAUGAAAUUGUAUUGAUAUUUAUUAUUAGGUUUUGAGUUUAUUCUUCUUCGUUGAUAAUUUUUCAGGUACUCUCAACUCGGGCAAGAAGUGGUGACUAGGUUGGCGAAUUUUUAUUUAUUAGGAUUUUUGUUCAAACUUUAUUUUGGACAUUGUUUAGAUAUUAAAAUUUAAUUCUCGUUUAGAUUAUUUGAGUAUGAAAUUAUUUAAAAAAUAACAAUUUAGUUAAUAUGUUAGUUUUAAAGUUGAGAAUUAAGGAUUAUAAACUCUAUUUAUUUUAUUAUCCUGAAUAGGAAUUUGGUAAUUGAAAAUUAUCUAAUUACAACUUACAAGAGAUAGAUCGUUUACAUUUUAUACCUUUGGACUAGGGGUGUGAAAUGAAUUCCACGUUCGGUUAUGGGUAAGGGUCUCCAAAAAGCUCGCGGCCCACGGCCCGGCCUGAGCCCAUUUUUGGAUGGGUCGGGCCAUGGGCUCCAAUUUACAUACGCUUUAUUUUCCAUGCACACAUUUCCAUGCACACACCACCACCACCACCUUUUUACAUACGCUUUAUUUUCCAUGCACACACUUCCACAUGUUUUUUUUUUUCUUCUUCUUCUUUUUUUUUCCAACUCUCAGCCUCCACACAUGCAUGACGUGUUUGUUUGUUUGGUUUUUUCACGUCCAACAUCUAUGAUUUAUUUUCUUUUGGUUAUUUUUAUUGUUUACAUCUACUCAUUUAAAUUUUGAGUCUUUUUAUUAUCUCCAUUAAUAAAUUUACAUAUGUUCAUAUAUUUCUAAUAAUUGAAUUUUUUUUUUAUAAAUCAAAGUAUAAUCUAAAUUUCAAAUAUUCCAAAAAUAUAUUUAAAUUAUUUAAAAUUAAUUAAUGAAUAUAAAAUAUUAAUUUAAAGCCUAAAAUUUUAUUGGAAUAACAAAACCUUACACUUCCAAUAUUGCACUACCAUUUCUGAUCUCAUCUAAAAGGAUUUCUGCAUAGAAAAGUUAUAAAAUUUACUUUAUACCUAAGAUUUAUGAUGUGAAAAUAACUUUUUACAUUCUUUUAGUUUAUUUAAAUUAUUUCUUUAUUUCCAAUUUAUAAUCUUACCCCUAAAAUUUCUAUGGUUAAGGAUAUAAAAAUAAAAAAAUUAUCUUAUUUUGGGUCAUAUAAGAAGAGUAAUUAUGAUAAAAAUGUUUUAAACGGUAUUUGUUUUUUUUAGUUUUUUAUUGAAAGUAAAUAACAUAUUAAUUUUUCCUUACUUUUUAAUAUUUAAUAGAUAUAAAAUAUUACAAAAAUAAUUAAUCUAAUACUUAAUAUUAUUAAACCAUAUUUAGUUUUAAUUUCUAUUUAAAAUUAAGUUUUAAAAAAUAAACAUUACGUACAUUAAUCUAUAACACUUUUAUAAAUAAAACAUUUCUAUCAUACACGCUUUGACAUUCAGUGCAUCACUUUAAGUAGUGUUUUUUGAACUUUCUAAAAGUGUUUGAAAAAAAUUAAAUAUUUGAUAAAAUUUAGGAAACACUUUUUAUGUUAGAAAAGCUUCUUAUAGUCAUUGAAAAACAAGCUCUAAAUUGAGAUAAAGAUGAUUUCUAAAAUUAAUAUUUAUUUUUUAUGGGAUAAAAUAAGAAGUAAAAUAUAUGGGUCUCUUACAUUUUGGAAAAUAGUUUGGAAAACCAGUUUUUGAUAAUAGUCAUAAAAAAAUAGGGAUUCAUAUCCUUCAAAAACAAAAUUAUGUUUGUGUGGACCCCACAUUUUGCUCGAUGUGUUUCCACUCAAUGGCGAAACUCGCUUUUUUGUUUUAUUUGGUGAAAUUUUGAUUUUGAGAAAAAGACUUGGAGUCACCACUUAUUUUUGUUUUAUUUUUUAAGGGAAAAACAAAAUAAGAAAGAAAAGCUCUAAGUAUAACUCCUAAAGGAAAAAAAACAGGUCUGUGAAAAACCGAAGUCGGGUUCGGAGGUCAGGUUACUUAUUGGGAAGGUACGGUGGUGAGCCGUAGCACCCCUCUGAGCCCGUAUACGUACGGCCUCUACUAAACGAAUUGAGGAAAUUGUGGUAAUUAAUUAAUUAAUUAUGGAUACCAAGAAAAAUAAUCAAUGUACAAGUCAUGGUGAAAAUUAAUAUACACAAAAAUGAUGAUGAAAUCUAAUUGCAAGAAUAUACAAAAUAAAUGAUAAGAGAAUUAUGCAAAAUGAUUUAUUGAAUUAAAUAAAUAGAAGAUAUUAAAAAAAGUUUUAAAGAAAUUUCAAAGGAUUUUAUUAAAAAUGAUUUUGAAUUAAUGAUUUCAAUUUAUUUACUUACAAAAAAAAGAAUCAACUUAUUUUCUCAAUUUCAUUUGUAUUCAAUUUUCAAAAAAACUAUUUACACUUAUUGUAUCAAAAGAAUUUAUUACAAAAUUUCAAUUUGGGCACAAAAAUUAUUUUUACUUGCUUUUACUAGAAAAUAAUGAAUUUUUACAAUUUUAUUUACAAAAAUAUUUAGAUUCAUUUUCAUUUAAAAAAAUUAUUUUUACAAAUUAUUUAAAAUGACAUAACUUUAUUUGCAAAAGAAAUUUUAAUUAAAAAAGAAAAACAAAGAUUUAAAUUCUCUAUUUCUGAAAAACACUUUUGAUCCCAUUUUAAUUAAGGAAAAAGAAUUCAUUUGAAAAAAAAUAUUUUUAGACAAUUUUGUUAAAAAUCAAAUUUUGGGACAACUUUAUUUACAAAACAAUAUUUGGACAAUUUUUAUUAAACAAAGAAAUUUAUGGACAAAUAUUAUUUAAAAAACAAAUUUUCAAAUUCCAUUAAAAACAUUUCUUUUGGAUUUUUCUAAAUGCAUUUUUCUGAAUUUUUAUAUAUAAAAAAAACUUUCUUUUAUUAAAAAUAAUAUUUUAAAAUUGUUGUUUUAUUAAAACACAUUUACUGACUUCAUCCUCUUAUUAAAAAAAAAAUUCUAAUUUGUUCGAUGUUCAAUUCUGCGCACACUCAAUAAAUAUAUACGAACAAAUAUUUACAAGAACUAAUAAAAAUAAAACCAAAUAAAAGUGAGAAAUAAAAUAUGUACUCAAAUAAACUUACAACAAGCUCUACGUGUCAUCAAUUCGUACUCAGCCAACAAGAUUGCAGAGUGGGUCCAUGCAAAAACAAGAAUAGCACAAAUGUAAAUAUCCAGAGACGUACAAAAUCCUAAACAAAUAUUCAAAUUUCAAAUUAGUCCAAUAAAUUUCAGCAAUUAAAAAUGGGCCUCAAUUAACAAAUAUUGCCCAACAAAAAUAUCUCACAUAUCUUAGAUCAUAACCUAAAGUUUUCAAAUUAAUAGCCAAAAUAUAAGCUCAAUUAAUCAAACCUAAAACAUGAUAAAUUAAAAUAAAUCUCAUUAAACCUAAAUUUAAUAUCUCACAUAUCUUAAAUCAUAACCUAAAGUUUUCAAAUUAAUAGCCAAAAUAUAAGCUCAAUUAAUCAAACCUAAAACAUGAUAAAUUAAAAUAAAUCUCAUUAAACCUAAAUUUAAUAUCUCAUCAUUAAUAUUAAGCCCAAUUUAACAUACAAACCUAGAUCCACAACCAAAAUCAACCCAAUUUAAUAUUCAAACCCACAUCCAAAAUAUACUACAAUAUUAUAUUAUAUCCAAAUUAAAUAAUUCAAAUGAAUACAACCAUACAAAUUAUCAAUUAAUUUAGCCCAAAUUAACAAAUUUCAAAUUAAUAAAUUCCAAAUUAAUUCACCAAUAAUAAAUUAGCCCAAAUUUCAUAUGAAUUCUCUAACAACAAAUUAACCCAAAAUUUCAUAUUAAUUUACCAACAACAAAUUAACAUAAAUCUCAUACUAAUUAAUAAAGCUCAAAUGUAAGGCCCACAAAUAAACACAAAUACACAAGCCCAAUUUCAACAACAAUUAAUAUUGAAAUAAAAGAAAAUAACAACCAUAACAAUAAUAAUGAUAAUAAUAAUAAUAACAAUAAUAAUAAUAAUAAUGUUAGGAAUUUGAGGCUAAUACAAACUAUGAUAAUCACCCUAGAGGGGGGGUAAAUAGGGUGAUGGUCUCUUUUUCACAAAUUUAAACUAUACAAAAAUAAGAGACAAUUAUAUGCAAGUAUGUAAUAAACAAAAUAAAGAUAAUUGCAUAUAAUUUAAAAGAGUUAGGGAAGAGAGAGUGCAAACACGAGAGUUUAUAGUGGUUCGGCACUUCUUUGCCUACGUCCACUCUCCUCAACCUCCUAACCGAGUGAGGGUUCCACUAUCUUGAACCUUCAACCAAGCUUCCAAUCUCUUUACAAUUGGAUUAUGGUUCCAAUUCACCCUCUUGGACUUUUGGCUCCAAACACCCUUUACACUUUUUCAAGAGAUAUCCCUCUCUUGAACAACCUCUCAAGUGAUACCCCUCACUUGAGAAAAUUCCUCACAAAGAUAUACAAAUAAUGAUCUCACAAAAAUCCUAGUAAUAGAACUUUAGGCUCAAAGAUACAAGAAAAACUAGGAUUGAAUGGUGCACUAAAGAUAUGCAAGUUAUGAAACAAUGGUGCAUUCAAAAAACACUCUCCCAAGUCUCAAAUAUAAUCAAUAAACAAUGGUGCAUUCAAAAAACACUCUCCCAAGUCUCAAAUAUAAUCAAGAAUGAUUUGGGAAGGUUAAGCUUAUGAAACAAUGAAGAUUGAAGCCUUUUUAUAGAAGAAAAAAGUCAAACUAGCCGUUGGGGGUUCGAUCGGUCGAGCUAGGGGUCGACCGGUUGACUAGUCGUUAGGAAAAGUGACCCUUGGACCUCAACUGGACCUCAACCGGUCCUCGACCGGACCUCAAUUGGUUGAGGUUCAACCUUGACCGGGAAGAGAAGGCCACUGGGAGAGAGAGAAACUUUUUGGCCUCCCUCAACCGGUCAUUGAUUGGAUGAGCACAACCGGUCAUCGACUGGAUGAGCACAACCGGUCGACCGGUUGAGCCAUUUUUUUGGCUAUACACUCAACCUUUUUCAACUUAAAACCUUGUUGAAAAACUCAUUAGUUCUAAACCUUCUCUUUGAGGUGGUCUUCUUCUUCAUGAUUUCUCCUUGGCUUGAUUUGUCUUUGGAUUGCCACUUUGGAAGUCGUCUUGCCUAAUCACACUUGAAAUAUGAUCAUUAGUUCUAAACCUUGUUUUGUUAUCAUCAAAAUCAAGAUUAACCAAACCUUGAUUUCACAAAUAAUAAUAAUAAUAAUAAUAAUAAUAAUAAUAAUAAGAAAAAAAACAAGAGGGAUGCAAGGGUACGGAAAUGACGGGCAGUGGCUGUUCGGGGAAGAUGUGGGUGUGUUGGAAUGGAGGAAGAAAAUAAAAAUAAAAAAUGGGUUGUAAGAGCGGUCUCGUGAGUGGCAGUGUGUGGGUAGGAAGAAGAGAAAAGAAAGAAAAAAAAAAAAAGAAAGAGGGGAGAUAGGGAAAUGAGCAGUCAGCUGGGUGUGGGAGUUGGCUGUGAGUGAAGUGUGGUAUUGGGGAAAGAAAAAGAUGAAGAAGAAUGGGGGAAAAUGGGGGAGUCGGCCAUUGUUGGGAAUGGGUAAGGAGAGAGAGAUGAGAAAAAAAGAAAAAAAAUUGGGGGAUCAAAAUCAGUAGCCGACCACCUUGUGGAGAAAAAAAUGGAGAAAAUGGGGGGAUGAAAAUCAGAAGAAGUGAAUGGGGGCCGACUGUGGAGAAUGGAGUGGAGUUGAAUGAGUGGAGGGGGAAAAAAAGAAAAAGAAAAAGGGGAGGGGGGGGACCUGCCGUUUUUCCAAGCUGGGGGCGAGAGGAAAGAGGAGAAAAAAACAGGGGGAAAGUCUUUGGAAUUGGGAGGAAAAAAUGGGGGGUCAAAGGCAAUUUUGGGCGAGAGAAAGAAGAGUGGGAAGGAAAAAAAAUUGAGGGAAAAAUGAAAAGUGGCUGGUGGCGACAAGUAUGGGAGGAGAGAGAAGAAGUGGGUGGGUGAGGGUAGGUGGAAGAGAAAAAGGAAGAGAUAAGGGAGAGAAAAAUGAAAAAAUAAAAUAAAAUAAUAAAUAAAUAAAAUAAAAAUAUAAAAAUAUAAUAUAAUAUAUUAUAAUAUAAUAUAAUAAUAAUAAUAACAAAUAAAACUAAUAAGUAAAAAUAAAAAAUAAAAAAAGUAAUUUACAAAAUAAUGAAAACUAAAAAUAAAGGGUGAGUGGACCUAAAAUAACACAUGUAAUCGAGAUUUAAAAUUGGACUCAAAAUUAAUACAAAAAUAAAAUUGGGACAAAAUUUAGGGUCUACAAUUUGAUAGCUCAAAUAUAAAAAUGUCUAUAUAUAUUCCCAAGUUUCUUAAUUUCCAGUGCUUCUUGUGGCUGAUCUUCCUCGUUUAAAUGAUAUCCCACCUACCAAGUACUGCCGAUGGAAUUAAUUUCCCCAUAGACGACAAAAUUCAAGCAAUGCCAGUACUAUAGCUGAUGCUGAGGUCGCUGUAAUUUCCUUUUCUUUUAUCCCCUUCAAUUCCUUGGUAAAUACAUGUUACCAGCGAUCAGUGAUUCUUGUAUGGAUUCAACCGUAAAUAGAGCUCAAACUGAAAGCAAUUCAGCAAUUCAUUUGGAACUGCAAUGGCUUUAACAGGCUAUGACUGUGAGAUCCUUUUAGUGUUUAUUUGCCUUCUGCUCCUUCUUCGCUUUUUUAAAGGCAAAAAUAUAAUCCCAUGGAAUUGGCCUCUCAUCGGAAUGUUGCCAACGAUUCUUUUCCAAUAUGAUCAGGUUUUAGAUCUGGGUGCUGAAAUUUUGGAAAGAUGCGGAGGCACCUUUCUGGUAAAAGGCCUGUGGUUGGCUCACUCGGAUAUGCUAGUCACUUGCAUUCCUGCGGACGCGCACCAUGUGAUGAGCACAAACUUCUGGAAUUUUCCCAAAGGGCCUGAGUUUAGGAUGAUGCUUGAUGCUUUUGGGAAUGGGCUAUUCAUUUCUGACUUAGAAGACUGGAGUUUCCACCGAAGAAUUGGUCGAGCGUUGUUCAAUCACCAGAGGUUCCAACAGUUAUCAGUGGAUAUUACCCUGGAUAAAGUGGAGAAUGGCCUAGUCCCAGUUCUGGAGCAUGCUUCCCAACAACGCUUAGCGGUGGACUUUCAAGAUUUGUUCCAAAGGUUUGGACUAGAUGCAACAUGUGCGUUGAUCACAGGGUGCGACCCCAAGAGCCUCUGCCUCGAGCUCCCAGAUGUUCCAUUCGCAUCCGCUAUGGAAGAGGCUGGAAAAGUGAUAUUUCUACGCCAUGUUUACCCAAAAUGCAUUUGGAAGUUACAAAGGUGGCUCGGUAUUGGGUCAGAGAGAAUUUUGAUUGCAGCCAAGAAAACCCUCUAUGAUUUUGCAGCGGAACAUGUAUCCUUCAUGCGAGAAUGUCGAACAUGGNNNNNNNNNNNNNNNNNNNNNNNNNNNNNNNNNNNNNNNNNNNNNNNNNNNNNNNNNNNNNNNNNNNNNNNNNNNNNNNNNNNNNNNNNNNNNNNNNNNNCAGUUGAAACCAAGAUCAUUGAAGAACUCAAAGCAGCUGUACCAGCAAAAGAAGCUGAAAAAUGGCAUCUAUUUGAUGCAAAAGAGCUAAGCAAGCUGGUUUAUCUGCAUGGGGCAUUGUGUGAAUCUCUAAGGCUAUUCCCCCCAGUUCCCCUACAGAUCAGAACUCCUCUUCAACCAGAUAUCCUUCCAAGUGGCCACCGGGUUGAUCCUUCCACAAAGGUAAUUUUUCAUGCGUAUGCCAUGGGCAGGAUGGCUUGCGCAUGGGGAAAAGACUGCCUAGAAUUCAAGCCCGAGAGAUGGCUGACGGGAAAAGGAAGGACUAAACAUGAGCCAGCAUACAAGUUCCUUGCGUUUAGCGCAGGACCCAGAAUUUGUUUGGGGAAAGAGGUGGCUUUUUUUAAAAUGAAGGCCGUUGCUGCUGCUAUCAUGCAUAACUACCAUUUCCAAAUGGUGAAAGGGCAUCGGGUGGUUCCUACCGUUUCCAUUGUUCUUCAUAUGAAGCAUGGUUUAAGGGUUAACGUUAAAAACAAAUGGGCCUGAAUUGAAUUAUUCCACUGGUUUGGUUCUAUAUAUAUAUAUAUAUAUAUAUAUGCAGUUUUAGGUUUUUCCAGUUCUCGUCCCACCUCUUAAAUGGAGAUUACUACAUAUUGUGCUUGUAUUAUGGAUUAUGUGUCAGGAAAUCAGUACGGUAGAUAAAGUCUUUGGUAUAAUAAAAGCCAUGCAUAGAUGGCUCAUAAAGAUUAAUGUACAUUUUCUUAGUAGUAUAAGCUAGACUUAAUCUAGAUUGUCUUAUAAGUGUUACGAUGUAUAUCUUAAGAUUGUGUUGAGGGAAAGUUCCCAUAAAUUUCAAUUAUUCAUGUUAGUGGGAAGAUACAUCUUGGUUGGUAAGCCUUAAAUAAUGUAAAAGGUCUUUUAUAAUUGGGAAACUUGUAUUUUGGGAGGGCCAUUUGGAAAUAAUAUGGAUUUCAAAACCCUAGAAUAGGAAAUAUGAUAUUCAACUAAUAAUAUAAAAAAUAAUAUGAUUCUUGUGCACUUUGUGCUGAGUGGACUUUUGAUACCCACUUUGCCCUUACCCAAUCUCCAUGUUAGCAUCCAUGUUGAGAUAGGAGGCAAAAGGGUUAAAAAAAAAUAAUUACAUAAAUUUCCCAAACAUCUCUCUCUUCACUUUCUCACCACCCGCACUAAAGCCAAAGAACCCCAAAUUUGAAACCAUAAACCCUCCCUGAUCUUCCUCUAAAUCCAAAUAACCUAAAUGUUGUGAAAUCCUACCUGUGAUUUCUCAUAUAUCCCCAAAAUCCCUAUAAUCCCAAGAAACAAACCCUAAUCCUUAUUUGCACAAGUCGAUGUCAUAGAUUUAAGAGUGUGGGCAUCAAUCGAUGUCGUAGAUUUGAGAGCGUGGGGAAACCCUAACCUCUUUGUCUAAAGAUCCAGCUCCGAAUCUCUAUCUUCAUCAUCGUCAUCAGGUGAUAUAUUUUUAUGUUGGUACAUUUAUGGUGGUUUAUUUGUGUUAAAUUUUUUUUUCACAUUGAGAAAGGAGGGUGUGUCGAAGCAUGACUAUGAAAUUUACAAAUUCUCUUUUUCUUUCUGUACAAAACUUCACCUUUCUCUCUAAAUUCCUCUCAAUUAAGGACUUCUUUCGGAGAUUUGAUGUAGCUGCUAAUCUUUUGUACUGUUUCUCGAAAACCCCCCCUUUUUUUUUUGUUGGAAAAUGUUCUCAGAUUUUGAAAGUAAGAAAUUUGUUUAUUUUUAAUAUUGAAAUAGAAACCCAAUUGCAGUAAUGAAUGAAGAUGUUUAUUAUUAUUAUUAUUAUUAUUAUUAUUAUUAUUAUUGUUAUUGUUAUUUGUUAUUUGUUUGGUUAAUUUAGAGGUUUGCGGGUUGGUUGAUUAUCUCCAGAAAUCAUUGAUCUCAAAAUUUGUUUUUUUUUUUUUUUGUAUUAAUAAAUUGAAGAUUUUUUUUUAUUAGUUUUUUGUUUGGCUAAUACAGAGGUUUGUGGUUUGGUUGAUUAUCUCUUAGAAAUUGUUGAUCUUAAUUUUUAAAAUUUUUUUUUUGCAAAUUCUAGGAAUAUCUACGAUUGAUGUGAUUUUGUUUCUUUUUCUUUUUUAAUGCUCUGUGGUGCUAGGUUUAAGUUUUUUACAAAUGUUUGGGUGGGCAUUAUUGAAAUUAGUGGGUUUAUUUUGAGAAAUUUAGUUUUCUGGCUGAGGAAUUUAUGCUUCUGAAACAACAAGCAUUCAGUUGAGGAAUUGUUUUAGGGUUAAAACCAUACUAGAUUUUAAUUUUGUUGUUUCUACAUCUUUUAAAGAAUGAUUUUAGGCGGUUAGAGUGUGUUCUUUUGUUGUUUUAAGGUUUUUAGGUUGAAAAUUGAUAUGGAUUUAUGUUUAUUAGAUUGAGUUAGAAUUUUUCCCACGAAUUUAUUUGAGAAGCCAUGAUAUGUAAUUGUGUUUUGAGAUGGUUUUAUACUAAUUAGUUUUAUUUGUGUCUAUUUUUGUGCAUUUAUCUGAGAAUUUUGUUUUUGGUUUUAUAUUUUUCAAAAUGGUUUUUGGUUCAUGACUCUUAGAAUUGGAAAGGUUUAAGCUAAGUAGGAUGAGUUAGCUCUUUUACUUUGGAUUUAUUUAAUAUUCAUUUUUUUUAGGGUUCUGCUUUUAGGAUCGGAUUACAUUUGUGAGUCUUUAAAUUUGAGAUGACUCUUAUUUUAUUUUAUUUUUUUUCAAAUGGUAUUGUGGUUUUCAAACUACAUAACAGAUGUAGACAUAGGCAUUAUCGAGGCUUGGAGACCAUUGAUGCAGUUCUUUUGAUUACAUUACUUUUUACCUUAAUUCAGGAUUGACUUUUGCUCAAAAAUAUUGAUUCUUCAUUUUGGUCUCCUUCAUAGUUAAUGUAAGCAUCACUAUUUCUACAUCUUUGUUAUCUUUGUAAAUAAUUUUUUGCCUUGAAUUGUAUAGCAUACUCAUAUAAUUCAAAGUUGCAAAAGUCUUGACCCACAAAUUACCAUCUCAUGUGGAUUUGGGAGAUAAGAAAUUUACAAGUUGAAAUACAUUGAGCUUUGAUAAUUCUUACAUAUUGAAAACCUUUUUAUUUAUACAAUAUAUUCUGAUGGCAUUUCAAUAUUUAUGUUUACAUUUUGUUUUCUUUUAAAUUUUUAAGCAGAUUCAUGGGUCACAAAGGCUACCAUAGGCUUCAGAAUUAGACUUUAAUAUCUAAGAAGCAUUCCCUUAUUAUAAUACGAAAUGCUUUUGGAAGCUGGUUAUAGAAUUCCCGGGGAAAUGCUUUUAAAUAGAACCUUUUUUUCCCUUCAAUUUGUUACUUUUAGGAAGAUUUUAACUCAAGUCAUAAAAUUUCAUAUGAAAAAAAUUGACAAAUCCUCUUUUAUGUGAAAUUAUGGAUUUUAAUUAGUGUUUUUGACAACCCUAAUAUUAGGAAUAUUAUUGUUUGUGUUGGAAUACUCAAUUUUCUCUUCAAAUCCUUGAACCCAAUGUACCAUCUCAAACAUUUCUUUUUGUUUUACAAAUGAAUGUUGGAAAUAGGAUAGACUGAUGAAGGCCAAAGAACCAAGAACCAAUUUGGGGUAGAUUUGGAGAUCAAUCACUGAAUUGUUAAGAUGAUUUCUUUUUCUAGUUUCAUUUGAUUUUGAGUAGAUUUAGUGGCUAUACUUAUAGUAAUAAAUACACAGUACCCUGCUUUUCAUGGUGAUCAUGUUAGACUAAGAUUUUUUUAUCAAUCUCUACAUGUGGCUUAUGCUAAGAAGUGAAACCAACUCACGACAGACUCCAUUUUAGGACUUUAUUGAAUGAUGGAUGGACCUGAACUUAAGCAUUUUUCAUGUCUCGAAGUUAAAAGAUUCUUUUAUAUGUUUGUUUUAUAAGUUUGUAGGAAAUUUGAGUACUAGUUAUUGAGUAUAAAUUUUAUGCUCAAAUGGCCUUGCAAGAAAGUUUAGCUAAAUUCAAGAAGCAACAAGAGAAGUGUCGAUUGACUCUCACUAGCAUUGCAACCGAAGCAAGAUCCCCUGAGCCUAGAGUACCUUGAGAUGCAUGUUGGAGCAGUUGAGCCUAGUGAUCAUGCUUUGGUAGCGAUGAUGUAAUUACUAUUGGUGGUGGUCUUUAUGUAGCUAUGAAUUUACUUGUUAAUCAUUUUGUAAAAGUUUGAACGUUAGCCAUGUAUUCAAAUACUUUGAUCCACUAGUUCUUUUAGAAAUGUUGGUGUUUUUCUCUGUUAUUUUAAGGUGUAUAUUAGUUACUGCUAUUAGUGGAAAGAAUAGACACACUUGAUUCCUACAUCUUCAUCAUGGUUGAAAAAAUUAUAUGAUAUUACAUGAUUUAUUAUAAAUUUUACUCUCAAAUAUCAAAGAUGUGUAAUUUAAUUCAGUUGGUUA
rnacentral:lncRNA from 1 species